UGAUAGGAUUGACUUAGUUCCACAUUCCAUGCUUUAUCUUGGUUGUUUGGUGUUGCCUACACUUUCAAAAGGAAAUUGACAGAUGACUGAAGUUUUAUGACCUGAAAGAAAUAAUACAAGAUGGGUGCUUCAUGUGGAAAGGUUUACUUAUCCAAGGUUAAAAGGAAGAAGAAGUUGAUAGGAUUGGCUUAGUUCCACAUUCCAUGCUUUAUUUUGGUUGUUUGGUGUUGCCUACACUUUCAAAAGGAAAUUGACAGAUGACUGAAGUUUUAUGACCUGAAAGAAAUAAUACAAGAUGGGUGCUUCAUGUGGAAAGGUAAGUAGAUUGAGAGGCUAUAGCUUCUUGAUGUUUGGCUGGCUGGUUUUGUCUGUACUAGUAGUGGAUUUCUAUCACAUAUGUACCUCUUGUCUUCCACUAGGUUUACUUAUCCAAGGUUAAAAGGAAGAAGAAGUUGAUAGGAUUGGCUUAGUUCCACAUUCCAUGCUUUAUUUUGGUUGUUUGGUGUUGCCUACACUUUCAAAAGGAAAUUGACAGAUGACUGAAGUUUUAUGACCUGAAAGAAAUAAUACAAGAUGGGUGCUUCAUGUGGAAAGGUAAGUAGAUUGAGAGGCUAUAGCUUCUUGAUGUUUGGCUGGCUGGUUUUGUCUGUACUAGUAGUGGAUUUCUAUCACAUAUGUACCUCUUGUCUUCCACUAGGUUUACUUAUCCAAGGUUAAAAGGAAGAAGAAGUUGAUAGGAUUGGCUUAGUUCCACAUUCCAUGCUUUAUCUUGGUUGUUUGGUGUUGCCUACACUUUCAAAAGGAAAUUGACAGAUGACUGAAGUUUUAUGACCUGAAAGAAAUAAUACAAGAUGGGUGCUUCAUGUGGAAAGGUUUACUUAUCCAAGGUUAAAAGGAAGAAGAAGUUGAUAGGAUUGGCUUAGUUCCACAUUCCAUGCUUUAUUUUGGUUGUUUGGUGUUGCCUACACUUUCAAAAGGAAAUUGACAGAUGACUG